rnacentral:rRNA from 1 species
CCUACGGGCGGCAGCAGUGGGGAAUAUUGCGCAAUGGGCGAAAGCCUGACGCAGCGACGCCGCGUGAGGGAUGAAGGUCUUCGGAGCGGAAACCUCUGUCAGCAGGGAAGAACGGUCACGGGGCUAAGCAGCAGUGAAUGGACGGUACCGGCAAAGGAAGCACCGGCUAACGCCGUGCCAGCAGCCGCGGUAAUACGGAGGGUGCGAGCGUUAAUCGGAAUUACUGGGCGGAAAGCGCUCGGAGGCGGUAGGUCAAGUCAAGGGUGAAAUCCCCGCUCUCAACGUGGGAACUGCCUUUGAAACUGGCAACCUGGAGUGUGUGAGAGGCUAGUGGCCUUCCAGGUGUCGGCGU